UACGUAGGAGGCGAGCGUUGUCCGGAAUUACUGGGCGUAAAGGGCGCGCAGGCGGUUCUGUUUGUCGAGUGUGAAAGCCCCGGGCUCAACCUGGGAACUGCGCUCGAAACGGCGGAACUAGAGUUCGGGAGAGGAGAGUGGAAUUCCCAGUGUAGAGGUGAAAUUCGUAGAUAUUGGGAAGAACACCGGUGCGAAGGCGGCUCUCUGGACCGAUACUGACGCUGAGGCGCGAAGCGUGGGGAGCAAACAGG
rnacentral:rRNA from 1 species